UACGAAGGGGGCUAGCGUUGCUCGGAAUUACUGGGCGUAAAGCGCACGUAGGCGGCUUUCUAAGUCGGGGGUGAAAUCCUGGAGCUCAACUCUAGAACUGCCUUCGAUACUGGAGAGCUUGAGUCCGGGAGGAGGUGAGUGGAACUGCGAGUGUAGAGGUGAAAUUCGGUAGAAUAUUCGCAAGAACACCAGUGGCGAAGGCAGGCCUCA
rnacentral:rRNA from 1 species